rnacentral:rRNA from 1 species
CACCGCCCGUCGCUCCUACCGAUUGAAUGAUCCGGUGAAGUGUUCGGAUUGCAGCGAUGCUGACGGUUCGCCGCCGGCGACGCUGUGAGAAGUUCAUUAAACCUUAUCAUUUAGAGGAAGGAGAAGUCGUAACAAGGUUUCCGUAGGUGAACCUGCGGAAG